UACGGAGGGUGCAAGCGUUGCUCGGAAUCAUUGGGCGUAAAGCGUACGCAGGCUGUUCGUUAAGUCGGGUGUGAAAGCCCGGGGCUCAACCCCGGAACUGCGCCCGAAACUGGCGAGCUUGAGUGCGGGAGAGGGAAGCGGAAUUCCUGGUGUAGAGGCGAAAUUCGUAGAUAUCAGGAGGAACACCGGUGGCGAAAGCGGCUUCCUGGCCCGGUACUGACGCUGAGGUGCGAAAGCGUGGGGAGCAAACAGG
rnacentral:rRNA from 1 species